GAUAUUCGCAAUAUUGGAAGAAUACUUCAGUCCUCGCCCGCAUUUUGGAACCCCUCCUUCCCGAAACGAAACCCUUCCUCCUCUCACCAUGGCCGCCGCCGCCGCCCUCCGCCAGAGCCCCGUCCUUCUCCUCCGCCGCCAGUUCCUCCUCCGCCUCCUCUCCACCCAAACCCAGCUCCAAACCCCCGCCGAGCUCUCCCGCCUCAAGUCCUCCAUCCGCAACGCCGCCACCACGCCGGACGACCUCGCCUCCCUCUUCCUCUCCGCCCUCCCUCACCCCGCCUUCCUCGCCGACCGCCCCCUCUUCGCCCUCUCCGUCCACCGCCUCGCCUCCGCCGGCCGCCGCGACCUCGUCGCCUCCAUCCUCUCCUCCUCCCUCACCGCCCUCCCCAAGCCCCACCCUUCCGAGGGUUUCCUCAUCCGCCUCAUCUCCCUCUACUCCGCCGCCGCCAUGCCCGACCACUCCCUCACCGCCUUCCGCCUCGUCGACCCGCCCUCUGACCGCGCGCUCUCCGCGCUUCUCUCCGCCUACCACGACAACCGCCUCUACGACCGCGCCGUCCAAGCCUUCAACACCCUCCCCGCCGAGCUCGCCAUCAAGCCGGGCGUCGUCUCCCACAACGUCCUUCUCAAAUCCCUCGUCGCCAGUGGGGACGUAGCUGCCGCCCGCGUCGUGUUCGACGAAAUGCCAGAAAAGGCAGGCCUCCAGCCGGACAUCGUUUCCUGCAACGAGAUCCUCAAGGGAUACCUCAACAACGGUGACGCCGCCGCCUUCGAUGAGCUACUUAAGGAGAUUACUGGUCCCAAGAGGAGGCUGAAGCCCAACGUCGUGACCUACAACCUACGGAUGACUGCGCAGUUUGCGAAAGGGAGGAGCUUUGAGGCUGAGGAGCUUCUGGAUGCCAUGGGGGCGAAGGGGGUGUGGCCCAACCGGGCGAGCUUCAACACAGUCAUCAAGGGACUCUGCAACGACGGGGAGGUGGGUGCUGCCAUGGCGCUAUUCAGAAAGAUGCCGGAGGUGCCCAGGCAUAACGGCACAGGGGUGUCGCCCAACUUUGAGACCUACAUUACGCUGCUUGAGGCGCUGGUCAACAAGGGCAUGUUCGAUCCUGCUUUGGAGGUCUGCAAGGAGUGCCUGCAAAACAAGUGGGCACCACCAUUCCAAGCUGUCGAAGGGUUGGUUCAGGGCUUGGUCAAGAGCAGGAAGGCCAAGCAGGCAAAGGAUCUUUACAUGGCCAUGAGGAAGGCCGUCAAGGGCGACUCCAAAGAGGAGUGGAUGAAAGUUGAGGCUGAGUUUCCAUUGGUGCUUGCUGACAAGAAAGCGUAACUGCGAGGAACCAUGCAUGACAUAGUUGAAUAGGUCAUCAUGUAUGCUUAAUUAUGACAUUCUGCAGGCUAUAUAUCCUUGGUCGGGUGGUAUCAAGUUGAAGGUAAGUAACACUAUUACCUAUAUUUUGGCAAACAGAAAUAAGGUAAUAUUUAUGAUUAGGCUCUCCCAUUAACAUGUUAUCUGCGUAACUCAAUGUUGUCAUGUGGUUACAUCUUGCAACAUGGAUCUGCUAGAUGGUAUUUUGUGUUUUGUGACAUGUCUACCCUGUUUGCAUAUCAAUUUCAUCAUUUUAAGAUAUCACUCCGGAACUUCACACCUCGUUGUGACUUGUGAGAACAUUGAAGGACUAACAAGUUGUAUCUAGGUUUAUCACUUUUUUUUUUUGGUUCAUUUGGAGAGACUCGAAGGAAUGGAAUAUCUAGAAAGAACUAUCCACGGAUAGAAGCACGUGAAGGUUAGAAUCUACAUGUCAAAAUCAUAACUUAUGCUUCAGUCUUCUUGUACCGUUAUUACUUUUAUUUUUUACUAUUACUAGCACAUUUAUUAUCAUUAUUAUUUUUUUUAUCAUCUUUUAGUUGGAUCUUAUGGGUUUCAUCUUUAGCCUACCUAACUUGCUUGGGACAAAAGCUUUGUUGUUAUUAUUGUUGUUGUUGUUGUGGGUUCAUUUGAAGAGUGAGUAGGUUGUUACCUACUGGUGAUUCACGACCAUUUUCUUUUGUCGGAUAUCAUCGGCAAGUGGCUCUAAUUUCUGAUGAUCUGUCUCCUGGAAUAUUCAAGGGUGACCUGAGAGAGGCUCGAUCGUUGCUUUGGAUAUCUCCUGUGUAGUUUUCAGUGUCAAAUCUUGCAGUUGCGCCUGUGUUUGUGGAGGCUACCCUUCUGCUUUGUUUUGUUUUGACAGUAUCCAUACCCUGCAUAUAUGAUGCUUCGAUUUGUGACAUCUGUGGUUCUUGCUCUUGCGAAUCUAUGCUUCUUUUUUAUUCCUUUUCUUGAAUUCACCAAGUUUUUGUUUAUUUAAGGACAUGCACAGCCGCAACAUAUGAAUUUGCGAGUGUAUGUUAUAACAUUUCUGUAUUUUGGCACCUAUGUGUGUGUGUGUGUAUAUACACACACUCAUAAUUAAUGCUACAGGUGGUUUUAGGGGGCGCACUGCAGUUUUAGAUUAUACAGUACACAGCAUAGCACAUCAACUUUAGGUUAUUUUUUUCCCAAUUUAUUUUGUAGCAAAAUUACAUGGAAAAUAUUAUGCAGCCAUAAUUAAUGGCGUCGGUGGUAUUGGUGGAUGCAUCAUCGUUUUUCAGCUUGAUCAAUGUUGAACAUGCACCUACAUCAAUAUUAGCAACAUUAGUGGUUCAGUGUAUGCGCUAUUUUAGAAUAUGCACACAUCACAUGGAUAUACACAACUUACACUUGUGUGGUAUAUAUUUCAUAGUUCAACCGAACCUUUGCAACGUGAUGUAAUGCUUGAAACACUAUGCAACAACAAAUAGUGGCAUCAAUUGUUUGUGGAUACGUCAUAAUUUUGGGAUUUGCAUACUGCGUCACACGGAUACACAUCAAAAUAACUUAAGGAGCAUUUAUUUUCCAUGCUAAACCAAAUCUUGCAAUGUCCAUUUCAUCAUGCUUAGAUUCCGCGCAACAACAAAAAAGUGACAUUGUUGGUUUUAUUGGUUGCAUCACAUUCCAUGAAUAUGCAUACUCUGUUGUCAUGUGGAUACACUGCUUAUGAAGUGUUUAUUUUCUAGUUUAAUCAAUUCUUGUAAUAUACAGUUACAUCAUGAUUAGAGACAAGGUUCCAAAGGGUGUUAGGCGCUAGUCCACUGCCUAGCGACUAGGGUGUCUAAGCGUAGAUUAAGCAUGCUUAAGCGCUACAUAUUGUAUGAAU